rnacentral:rRNA from 1 species
UACAGGGGGUGCAAGCGUUGUCCGGAAUGAUUGGGCGUAAAGCAUCUGUAGGUGGUUUUUAAAGUCGACUGUUAAAUCCCAGAGCUCAACUUUGGCAGGGCAGUCGAGCACUUAGAAACUUGAGUACGGUAGGGGUAGAGGGAAUUCUUAGUGGAGCGGUGAAAUGCACAGAGAUUAGGAAGAACACCAGUGGCGAAAGCGCUCUACUGGGCCGUGACUGACACUGAGAGAUGAAAGUUGGGGAGCGAAAAGG